rnacentral:lncRNA from 1 species
UUGGUUCCUCUUCUUGUUUUGUGUUUUUGUAAAUAUAUGUGUAUCUUUUCUCUUAAAUAUAUGUUCUGAAAAGAAAGAAAAGAAAAGAGACAGGAUGAAAAAAAAAUACAAUAAAAAAAUAGAUGAAAAUGAGAAAAAAAAAUUAUGAAUAAUGGAGUCAAGAAGAGGAUUGAAUUAGAGGUUUUAGGUGUGAUUUGACUGUGUUUACACUUGUUCCCCAUUACUCCUCUAUUUCUUUUGGUUUGUAGCUUCUCAUCCAUAUGUUAUCCUCC